rnacentral:lncRNA from 1 species
AUGUUUGCCCAGGGAAGCGGUGUGGGCUGGAGAUACAGAAUCGAGUAUAUAACACUGAAACAAGGGAAGUGGAUUAGGUCACCCCGGGAGAAGAAAAGAGGACCUGGGAUGGAACAAGGAAAACUGGAGAUGCUGGCCAAGUCGGCAGCUGCCUGCAUUCCGGCAAAGUCACAGGGCGGCGGCGGCGGCGGCCUCGCAGCCAGUGCCCGCGCGGCGGGAGCCGGGACCCGCCCCGGGGAAGGAUGCGCGGAGCCAAGGAGCGCUGAUGCUUGGCCCUGGUGCUCCAGACCCUGAAGUCCAGUUUCGAAACUGACCAGAGUAGGCCAUGUUUCGGAGGAGGGCAGCCCCUACGUCUCCCCUUUGCUGAGGGCGUGUGAAGAGACUGUGGCGGGCUGGGUGGGAAGAGAUGGGCAAAGAGCUCCAAUACCUGUAUUUCCGUGCAGAGACAUUUUACAGCCAGGAAAAACCAAUAUCAUCAGUUCUGCCAUAACAUGCCCACUGUGGGCAUGUCAUCUUCCUGCUACAAAUUUUACCUGUUUUAUGCUGUACCUGUGUUCCUAGAAAGACAUAUUGUUGUCCCUCAAUCGUGUCCAACUCUUUGCGACUCUAUGGACUGCACCAUGCCAGGAUUCCCUGUCCUUCACCGUCUUCCCGAGUUUGCUCAAACUAAUGUCCAUUGAGUCAAUGAUGCCAUCCAACCAUCUCAUCCUCUGCUCCCCCCUUCUCCUCCUGCCCUCAAUCUUUCCCAGCAUCAGGAUGUUUUCCAGUGAGUUGGCUCUUUGCAUCAGGUGGCCAAAGUAUUGGAGCUUCAGCUUUAGCAUCAGUCCUUCCAAUGAAUAUUCAGAGUUGGUUUCCUUUAGGAUGAACUGGUUUGCUCUCCUUGCUGUCUAAGGGACUCUCGAGAGUCUUCUCUAGCACCACAUUUUGAAAGCAUCAAUUCUUCGGCCCUCAGCCUUCUUUAUGGUCCAACUCUCGCAUCCAACAUACAGUACUGGAGUGGGCUGCCACUUCCUUCUCCAGAGGAUCUUCUGACCCAGGGAUCGAACCUGGAUCUCCUGCGUUUCAGGCAGGUGCUUUACCCUCUGAGCCACCAGGGCUCAUAGCUUUGACUAGACGGACCUUUGUCAGCAAAGCAGUAUCUUUGCUUUUUAAUAUGCUGUCUAGGAGGUUUGCCAUAGCUUUGCCAUAACUUCCAAGGAGCAAGGAGCUUUUAAUUUCAUGACUGCGGUCACCAUCUGCAGUGAUUUUGGAGCCCAAGAAAAUAAAAUCUGCCACACUUUCUAUUUUUUACCCA